ACACUGACGUCGCGAUGCAUAUCAAUAAGCGGAGGAAAAGAAACUAACAAGGAUUCCCUUAGUAACGGCGAGUGAAGCGGGAAGAGCUCAAAUUUGAGAUCUUCAAGGUUUUACCUUGACGAAUUGUAGUUUAAAGAAGUGUUUUCUGUUGAAGUUUUGGUAAAAGUUCUUUGGAAUAGGACAUCAUAGAGGGUGAGAAUCCCGUAUUUGGUCAUUCCUUCUAGCUUUGUGAUACACUUUCAAAGAGUCGGAUUGUUUGGGAAUGCAGUCCAAAAUGGGUGGUAAAUUUCAUCUAAAGCUAAAUAUUGGCGAGAGACCGGUAGCGAACAAGUACCGUGAGGGAAAGAUGAAAAGAACUUUGAAAAGAGAGUUAAACAGUACGUGAAAUUGUCAAAAGGGAAGCGUUUGACACCAGUGUUGUUUUUCCAAAAAUCAAUUACGAAUGGCUUGAUUUUGUGUUGUAUUGACCUUAUCAGCUUUCUUCACUUUUUUCGAGUCUUUCUUAAUGCACUUUUCGGUUAACAAGUCAACAUCAAUUUCUUUUGUUGUAAAAGAGUAUUCGGAAGGUGGCUUUCUUUUCGGAGAAAAUGUUUAUAGCCCUAUACUUCUACAAUCGGAGAGAUUGAGGUCUGCAGCGUAGAUCCUUCGGGGUUAGAUACAUUUGUGCUAAGUUGUAGCUUUUCAUAGACAACUUGUUGACUAUGUUUAGUCAUGCGGCUUACUCGCUUAUGCUAUUUUACCUACGCUUAGGAUGUUGAGUCGUAGAGCACGCAG
rnacentral:rRNA from 1 species